GGCUAUCCCAGAAAAUGGUGACUACACUUGAAAAACAAGCUGUCCAUCAUAGUGAAGCGCAGGGACAAUAUGUUUUUCUGCACCAGACUGACUUAGGAAGUGGUUUUAAAAGACCGAUCCCAGCUUGGCGACAGCAUAGUCAAUCAAUAAUUUGGCGAUGGAUUCAAAACAACCCCGAUGACUUAUCUUCGUAAAGGGCCUUUUUACGGCUGUUUGGAGUUCGACAGACGUGCUGGAAAGGGUUGUCCAUGCUGUUUUCUGACCCUCUAAAGAAGGAGCCACUGUUACCACGAAAAAUGUCUGUUAUACGCGCAGAGUGAAGAUAAAUCAUCGCGUCUAAUAUUUAUUCACCAA